GACAGUGUGGUGCAGUGGUUUGGGCAUUGGACUACGACUCUGGAGAUCAGGGUUCAAUUCCAGGUUCAGACA